AUACGGAGGGUGCAAGCGUUGUUCGGAAUUAUAGGGCGUAAAGCGCGUGUAGGCGGUCCUGUAAGUCGGAUGUGACAUCCCUCGGCUCAACCGAGGAACUGCGUUCGAUACUGCUUGACUAGAGUCCGAGAGAGGGGGGUGGAAUUCCUAGUGUAGAGGUGAAAUUCGUAGAUAUUAGGAAGAACACCAGUGGCGAAGGCGGCUCACUGGCCCGAUACUGACGCUGAGGCGCGAAAGCGUGGGGAGCAAACAGGAUUAGAUACCCCGGUAGUCC
rnacentral:rRNA from 1 species